rnacentral:rRNA from 1 species
UACAGAGGGUGCAAGCGUUGUUCGGAUUUACUGGGCGUAAAGCGCACGUAGGCGGAUCGAUCAGUCAGGGGUGAAAUCCCAGAGCUCAACUCUGGAACUGCCUUUGAUACUGUCGAUCUGGAGUAUGGAAGAGGUGAGUGGAAUUCCGAGUGUAGAGGUGAAAUUCGUAGAUAUUCGGAGGAACACCAGUGGCGAAGGCGGCUCACUGGUCCAUUACUGACGCUGAGGUGCGAAAGCGUGGGGAGCAAACAGG